UACGUAGGGGGCAAGCGUUGUCCGGAUUUAUUGGGCGUAAAGAGCGUGUAGGCGGCUAGAUAGGUCCGUUGUGAAAACUCGAGGCUCAACCUCGAGACGUCGAUGGAAACCAUCUGGCUAGAGUCCGGAAGAGGAGAGUGGAAUUCCUGGUGUAGCGGUGGAAUGCGCAGAUAUCAGGAGGAACACCAAUAGCGAAGGCAGCUCGCUGGGACGUUACUGACACUGAGGCGCGAAAGCGUGGGGAGCGAACAGG
rnacentral:rRNA from 1 species